rnacentral:rRNA from 2 species
UACGGAGGGUGCGAGCGUUAAUCGGAAUUACUGGGCGUAAAGCGUGCGUAGGCGGCCUGUUAAGUCAGAUGUGAAAGCCCUGGGCUCAACCUGGGAACGGCAUUUGAAACUGGCAAGCUAGAGUUAGGUAGAGGGAAGUGGAAUUUCAGGUGUAGCGGUGAAAUGCGUAGAUAUCUGAAGGAACACCAGUGGCGAAGGCGGCUUCCUGGACCCAAACUGACGCUGAGGUACGAAAGCGUGGGUAGCAAACAGG